rnacentral:rRNA from 1 species
UGGGGAAUAUUGGACAAUGGGCGCAAGCCUGAUCCAGCCAUGCCGCGUGAGUGAUGAAGGCCCUAGGGUUGUAAAGCUCUUUCAGCGAGGAGGAUAAUGACGUUACUCGCAGAAGAAGCCCCGGCUAACUUCGUGCCAGCAGCCGCGGUAAUACGAAGGGGGCUAGCGUUGUUCGGAAUCACUGGGCGUAAAGCGCACGUAGGCGGACUUUUAAGUCAGGGGUGAAAUCCCGGGGCUCAACCUCGGAACUGCCUUUGAUACUGGAAGUCUGGAGUCCGAGAGAGGUGAGUGGAACUCCGAGUGUAGAGGUGAAAUUCGUAGAUAUUCGGAAGAACACCAGUGGCGAAGGCGGCUCACUGGCUCGGUACUGACGCUGAGGUGCGAAAGCGUGGGGAGCAAAACAGGAUUAGAUACCCUGGUAGUCCACGCCGUAAACGAUGGAAGCUAGCCGUCAGGGUGCAUGCAUCUUGGUGGCGCAGUUAACGCAUUAAGCUUCCCGCCUGGGGAGUACGGUCGCAAGAUUAAAACUUAAAGGAAUUGACGGGGUCAUAGCUGUUUCCU